rnacentral:rRNA from 1 species
AGAGUUUGAUCCUGGCUCAGGAUGAACGCUGGCGGCGUGCCUAACACAUGCAAGUCGAGCGAUUUACUUCGGUAAAGAGCGGCGGACGGGUGAGUAACGCGUGGGUAACCUGCCCUGUACACACGGAUAACAUACCGAAAGGUAUGCUAAUACGAGAUAAUAUGCUUUUAUCGCAUGGUAGAAGUAUCAAAGCUUUUGCGGUACAGGAUGGACCCGCGUCUGAUUAGCUAGUUGGUAAGGUAACGGCUUACCAAGGCGACGAUCAGUAGCCGACCUGAGAGGGUGAUCGGCCACAUUGGAACUGAGACACGGUCCAAACUCCUACGGGAGGCAGCAGUGGGGAAUAUUGCACAAUGGGCGAAAGCCUGAUGCAGCAACGCCGCGUGAGCGAUGAAGGCCUUCGGGUCGUAAAGCUCUGUCCUCAAGGAAGAUAAUGACGGUACUUGAGGAGGAAGCCCCGGCUAACUACGUGCCAGCAGCCGCGGUAAUACGUAGGGGGGCUAGCGUUAUCCGGAAUUACUGGGCGUAAAGGGUGCGUAGGUGGUUUCUUAAGUCAGAGGUGAAAGGCUACGGCUCAACCGUAGUAAGCCUUUGAAACUGGGAAACUUGAGUGCAGGAGAGGAGAGUGGAAUUCCUAGUGUAGCGGUGAAAUGCGUAGAUAUUAGGAGGAACACCAGUUGCGAAGGCGGCUCUCUGGACUGUAACUGACACUGAGGCACGAAAGCGUGGGGAGCAAACAGGAUUAGAUACCCUGGUAGUCCACGCCGUAAACGAUGAGUACUAGCUGUCGGAGGUUACCCCCUUCGGUGGCGCAGUUAACGCAUUAAGUACUCCGCCUGGGAAGUACGCUCGCAAGAGUGAAACUCAAAGGAAUUGACGGGGACCCGCGCAAGUAGCGGAGCAUGUGGUUUAAUUCGAAGCAACGCGAAGAACCUUACCUAAGCUUGACAUCCUUUUGACCGAUGCCUAAUCGCAUCUUUCUCUUCGGGGACAGAAGUGACAGGUGGUGCAUGGUUGUCGUCAGCUCGUGUCGUGAGAUGUUGGGUUAAGUCCCGCAACGAGCGCAACCCUUGCCUUUAGUUGCCAGCAUUAAGUUGGGCACUCUAGAGGGACUGCCAGGGAUAACCUGGAGGAAGGUGGGGAUGACGUCAAAUCAUCAUGCCCCUUAUGCUUAGGGCUACACACGUGCUACAAUGGGUGGUACAGAGGGCAGCCAAGUCGUGAGGCGGAGCUAAUCCCUUAAAGCCAUUCUCAGUUCGGAUUGUAGGCUGAAACUCGCCUACAUGAAGCUGGAGUUACUAGUAAUCGCAGAUCAGAAUGCUGCGGUGAAUGCGUUCCCGGGUCUUGUACACACCGCCCGUCACACCACGGGAGUUGGGGGCGCCCGAAGCCGGAUUGCUAACCUUUUGGAAGCGUCCGUCGAAGGUGAAAUCAAUAACUGGGGUGAAGUCGUAACAAGGUA